rnacentral:rRNA from 1 species
UAAGACCUGCACUUUUGGAGCGGCCGAUGUCUGAUUAGCUAGUUGGUGGGGUAAUGGCCUACCAAAGCUUCGAUCAGUAGCUGGUCUGAGAGGACGGCCAGCCACACUGGGACUGAGACACGGCCCAGACUCCUACGGGAGGCAGCAGUGGGGAAUUUUGGACAAUGGGCGCAAGCCUGAUCCAGCCAUGCCGCGUGAGUGAAGAAGGCCUUCGGGUUGUAAAGCUCUUUCAGCCGGGAAGAAAAGGUUGCGACUAAUAAUCGCAAUUCAUGACGGUACCGAAAGAAGAAGCACCGGCUAACUACGUGCCAGCAGCCGCGGUAAUACGUAGGGUGCGAGCGUUAAUCGGAAUUACUGGGCGUAAAGGGUGCGCAGGCGGUUUUGUAAGUCAGAUGUGAAAUCCCCGGGCUUAACCUGGGAACU